rnacentral:lncRNA from 1 species
GCUAGCCUGAUAGGGGGUUGCACCCUCAACCAUAUAAACCAUGCUUUUCCACUCUCACCAGACAAUGUGGGACUAUUCCCAACAAUCUCCCUCUCACACAUUGUGAGCCGAGAUUUGUCUGAGAAUGCACUGGGCCAACCUGGCUUUGAUACCAAUUGUUGGAACCGGACCGCCAACACAUGGCGUGUCCGUCGGGGCCGCCCGCACACACGGCGCGCCCACCCAAGCUGUCGGGCUGCGACACACGCGCCCGCACGUAUAGCAGCGGGCUUUAGGUCUCUUGGGCCAACACUCCCCCAAAAAGCUAGCCUGAUAGUGGGUUGCACCCUCAACCAUAUAAACCAUGCUUUUCCACUCUCACCAGACAAUGUGGGACUAUUCCCAACA